CGCCGCGAGAGGGCGGACGGCCACAUUGGGACUGAGACACGGCCCAAACUCCUACGGGAGGCAGCAG
rnacentral:rRNA from 1 species